rnacentral:sRNA from 1 species
UUGGCAGCCCUAGAUACUGAAGCCCCCUGUAUGCACAAAAUAUGCACAGCAUGGGUAGUGGCAGUGCCAACUUCCCAGCACUGCUGCACUAAUGUGCCUCAAACUUGACCUUGAGAAGAACCAUCUUGGAGGCAAAAUUAUCCACUCAUUUUGGGAAGGAGGGUUUUAGUAUCACUACAGGGAGUAGAACCUAGGUUUCU